rnacentral:rRNA from 1 species
UGGGGAAUCUUGCGCAAUGGGCGAAAGCCUGACGCAGCCAUGCCGCGUGAAUGAUGAAGGUCUUAGGAUUGUAAAAUUCUUUCACCGGGGACGAUAAUGACGGUACCCGGAGAAGAAGCCCCGGCUAACUUCGUGCCAGCAGCCGCGUAAUACGAAGGGGGCUAGCGUUGCUCGGAAUUACUGGGCGUAAAGGGAGCGUAGGCGGACAUUUAAGUCAGGGGUGAAAUCCCGGGGCUCAACCUCGGAAUUGCCUUUGAUACUGGGUGUCUUGAGUAUGAGAGAGGUGUGCGGAACUCCGAGUGUAGAGGUGAAAUUCGUAGAUAUUCGGAAGAACACCAGUGGCGAAGGCGACACACUGGCUCAUUACUGACGCUGAGGCUCGAAAGCGUGGGGAGCAAACAGGAUUAGAUACCCUGGUAGUCCACGCCGUAAAACGAUGAUUGCUAGUUGUUGGGAUGCAUGCAUUUCGGUGACGCAGCUAACGCAUUAAGCAAUCCGCCUGGGGAGUACGGUCGCAAGAUUAAAACUCAAAGGAAUUGACGGGGUCAUAGCUGUUCCUG